UCCAUGUCAAUAAUCUUACAGCAGCCCCGUUCUCCUUCUCUUCCUGUUUGCUGCAUGUUUAUGUUUUUCUAGUAUCUCCCUCCCUUUGCCGAAGCAAAAGAGACACUCCCAGCACACAGGAAGAGGAAAAUGACCCAGGAUCUGCAGAUUUUAACUUUACACUUGAAUGUACAUAAUGAAAGCAAGGAAAUCAACAACAAGGAAGUGAGCUCAAACCAGAUGACAAGAUGGUAGGAAUGGCUUCUUACUCUAGAACAGUAACCAACAAGGUAUAUAUACUCCACUUGCUUGACUACUAUCAGAUCUUCUGAAGAUGCCAGCCGUAGAUGCAGGUGAAACUUCAGGAAAAAAUGCUACUAGAACAUGGCCGUAGAGUCCAGAAACCACACAACACCCCAGUGAUUCCGUCCAUGAAAGCCUUUGACAAUACACUCCAGUAUUGUUUAAGAUGAUAAAGCUCCUCAUGUAUAAAUGUAGAGAUGCCUGCUAAAGAAUGCAAAUGAUGUAACAUUUUAUUUCUUAUAAAAGUGUAAUACCUUACCUGACAUAUAUUAAAAUGAAUGAUGCCUUAUGUGCAAUAUACUGUAAGUAAUGUGUCUACUUGACACUGAAAUGUCAAAGUUUCCUAUGGGAAGUAUGUAUGCUCAAAUAUCUAUGAGUAAAUAGCCUAAAAGAAUAACAGAAAGUUCCUUGUCCCAUUUAAAUAUUCUGAGAUUCCAAUACUUAAGAAGAUUCAAGUGAAGUGUUGAUGCUAUCUCUACCUGUUCAGAUUUUACCAUUGGGAAGUCUUGGUUUUAUCUUUGAACAAGCAGCAAAUCUAUUAAAUUUGAGAGGAGAAACAUUUGACACUAUGAGCUCCAAAAUCUUAGCUAAGAGACAAAUACACAAAUGAAUAAUGUUCGGCUAUAUAAUGUUUCAUUAAAAUUGAUUUUGUUU